rnacentral:lncRNA from 1 species
CCAAAAGCAAUAAUUUUGAUUGACCCAAAAAUUUGAAUCUCGAACAAUACAAAAACUAAGACCUCAAAAUUAAACUUAAUCCCGCAAAGUUUCUCUUGAAAUCAAAAUAAAAUGGUUUAUUUGGGUGGGUUUUAUUUGCUGAAAAAUAUAGAGGGGGAAGGGUUUUUUGUUGAUGAUGGCUUUGGGGUAGUGAGGUUUCAAUUUCAUCGGAGUUGAUGAUUUUUUUUGACAAAAA